GGUGAUCAACGCUGUGAGGCAUCGAGACAAGAACGGAGGAGAUAAAGGAAGCGGGCGCUUCUUUCAGAGUUCUCCAUCUCAGCCGUACGGAAACCCCUCGCCUCCGGAGUCUGGAGCCACGAUGAAGCUGAGGAGGAAGGGGCAGCGUUCAUACGAAAUCAUUGUGCUGCAGGAUUACUAACUACGGAGGAUUGGAUCGGACCGGCUGCAGGGCGACAAUCGUGGAUUUGCUCACAGCGGGAGAGACGGCUCUGGCUAAAGACUGGCUCCUGAUUUCCAGCGGUUGGAAUGAAACCAGAAGUGAUCUGCGCUCGGGACUCGCGGAGAGAAGACAAGCGGAGCUCCAGACAGAGAGCGGGGCUGCGCGGCGGCUCGCCCGGCGCAGGCGCCGCGGCGCUCGGAUCCGACCCGCGCGGACUCCCCGGGACCCCGGAGGGGCCACGGAGCGGGACCCGCAGCGGGACCCGCAGCGGCGGCCGCAGGAUCAUUUGGUUUCCGGGGAAGUUGAGCGAAGCGGCGAGUUGUUUAAUUUGUGCCAAUCAAGAGGAGAGGAAGAUGAGAGCCGCAGUGGAGGAAGAUCAGCUGCGAUGGAGAGGAGAAGCCCGCGCGCGAGGCUCUGCGUGGCUCUGCGUGGCCGUGUGCAUUUACGCAACAUGAGAUUAAAGACACGCCCUGAACCAGAAGGCAGAAACUGGGACCAGGCAGGUGAUACUGAUUUAGGAACGUCAUCUCGGCUCAACAAAUGAAGAAGAUUUCACACUCCAACACACACAGACAGUAAAUGUGCGAAACUGUUUCCAGGUGAAGAAAAGCAGAUCAGAAGGAAUCCAGGUGAACUGGAAUAACACGGAAAAAAGGGACUGUGUUGGUGCAGUGCUGGUGCAGUGCUGGUGCAGUGCUGGUGCAGUGCUGGUGCAGCGAUGGGAUGAUGUGAGCAGCGCUGUAUCUGGCGGCCCCCAGAGCUUCCUUUGUGCUGCUGGAAUUAACUACGACUCGUCACGUGUAACCGACUGCUAACCUCCAACCCCAUUCAGGAAUCGUCGCCUGUGUGUGUGAGAGGGGCAGAGAAAGGAAGAGGUCAAGCUGUCACAAACACAAGCAAAAUCAUUGUUCCCAAUGGAAAAGCACAAAUCCACUCCAACCAGAACAAACACACCAAUGGAUAUGCUUACAAAAACUGGAGAUCUCUACUCUGAAUCUGCUGGAAAUUAAACAUGAUUUGAUGAAACUGCACAUAUUAACAUAAACUCAAAUGUGGAGUGAUUUCAACUGAAGUUUGACGUAGUAUUGUAAUCAUUUACUUAGCAAACUUAGUCAUACAUAAAUUUAGCAAUUUCUUUUUGAAUUAUUUCAGUUUCUUCAAUGAGCUUUUUUGUUUUUGCAACAAUGAAUGAGACUGUCAUUAAUUUCACAGCAGCAUCUAUAGACACGUUGCAGUGUGAGACCCGCCCCCUGCUGCUGGCUGACGAUGAAUAGCAUUGGUUUUAGUGGUCAAGUUGCCAACAUGACACGCUAAGUCUUCACUGUACGGGUGAUAUAUAAGAGAAAACGGUGUCAACAGAAAGACAACUGUUUAUUUUGUGAUUAUUAACAUUAGCUAAUCUAACAGCUUAGCUAAUUUAAUCACCUGCUCAACUGUUGCCUGUUUUUUAACUAAACCAAAACACCAAAUUCAGCAGCACAUCUACAUGUUAGAUUGUCAUAGUCAAGCUAGCAAAACUGAACUACUUUGCUAUCCCUUGCUCUUCUUUUUGUAAAGUAAAACCUUUUUCCUGAUCUUGUUAUCCGUCUGUUGUAGUGUAGCAAAGCUAUCACAUCUAAUACUUGGCACGUUAUACUUUACAGCUAACACCAAUGACAGCCUCCUUACUGGAGUGUCUCUCUAUGCAUGGUUAAUGAAGAAGAGUCGUGAAUAAGUGCGGGUUGUGUUGAGGAUGAAGGCAUCGACCGCCUGAUGACACGAAUCACAAUACAGUCUCAGUCUGAGACACAACAGCAGACAAAACGCUUUUCUUCUUUUAUUUCACAUAAAUAAGAAGGAACUCAGUUAUGUCAAAUCCCAUUUUCUCUGGUCUACAGUGUUUUGUAUUUUCUCAGAGAUUUUCUUGUUUUAUGUCAUUUUAAAUAUUUAACUUAACCUUAUUAUUUGAUAAGGUUAAAUCUUAAAUUAUCCUGUUUUCCACUGACCUGUCUGUUGUGUUCCUUGGCUGGUUGUUUGCUAAUGUUCUCCAACAGUGUAGAAGAAAUACAUUUUUGGUAAUUAAUGGGAUAAAAUAAGGUUGGCGGUGAAGUGAUAAGAACCUAUAUGGUGCCAAUUUGUCAAUUCAGCAGCCAGGACAACCCAGACUGGGAGAAUGGCCAAGUACUUAAGUGGUUUUACACAGAAAAGUGUUUUCUUUUUUUUAUGCAAUUUGUUUGAAAUUCCUGCCUGUGAAACGAAAUGUAUUGUAAUGUAAAAACACAUUUGUCAAUCAAAACCAUACAUUAAAGGAGGGAAAUGCUGUAAUGGGCAUAAAACCUGAUACAAGAGGCCCAAUCACGUGGCAAAGCACAGCAGGAAGGUGUUUAUUAUGCUGUCACAUCUCAGCAGGAUGCAGUAAAAUAAAUGCCUCUUUGCUAAAAAAAAAAAAAAAAAAAAAAAAAAAAAAAAAAAAAAAAAACGUGUGCUGGUUUGUGUUUUAUUUUGUGAGAGUUCAGUUCAGUUUAUUUAAAUAGCACCAAUUCACAACACGUUGUCUCAAGACAAAAAAUAAAGGCAAUCCUUACAAUCAUUCCAAGUUACUCUUCAUGGAUGUGACAGAUGUGACGUUUUGGUGUUUCUUUCUUCUUGUUUUGUUUUUAAUCUCUGGAGGCAGAGGUGAGUUUUUUUUGGCCAUAUGCUGUGAGUGGAUAUAAUGUAUUUUCAUAUCUUUGGGUUUCUAGAACCAAAGACAUGAAUGUUUGCAAAAUUGUAAUGUUUGCAAGUAGUUUCCUGCUAAAUAACUAAAACUUUAUUCUUUCGUCAGAUUAUUAUUAUUUUCUCAUCGCAGCCCAAGCUGACCUCGACACUUGCCAACCUUUCUAGCUUAUUCCCUUCCUGGCACCGAUUUGCAUCUUUAAAAGUAUUUUUUUUGUUUUGUUUUUUGUGAAAAAGUGUUUUCACAGUACAAACAUUCAGAUUUGAUCCUGGUUACCAAACAACACAGUCAAAUGUAUUAUUCUGAGAAAACGAUAAAUGACUUUCAGCCUUCACUCCUCCUGAAGCAACAGCAGACAGUCACUGGCUCUGUCUGUGAUAUUAAAGAUAAUCUAUUAUGAA